AAAAAAAAAUUUAAAAGAAUUAUGUCGGAGUGCUUUUCGUGGAUUAAAACUAAAUACGGCUUGAACGCGAAUUCCACGAUGUCGGAUGUGAAUUUGGCAUUCAGGGACUGGAAUAUGGGUGCCCUAGUUCUCAUCAGUGUCAUCAUUUUGCCUGGCAUUCUGGGAAACUCUCUGGUGAUGGCGAUUUUUUACAGGGAGUUCAAGAAGUCAGCGUAUAGAACGUUUGUCCUGUGGCUCGCAGUGUUAGAUCUCGCCGGGUGUCUUCUAGUAAUGCCGUACCUCUUGGUCAAUAUCGUGACCCCAGUAUCCAUGGACAACGAGGUCGUCUGUAAAGUGGGAAGAUUUUUAUCCUACGUCAUCAUGAUGACGUCACAUUUUAUUCUGGUCGUUAUUGCGGUGGACAGGUAUCGUAAAAUUUGUAAGCCACAUUCUUUUCAAAUUGCGCAAUCGCAGACAUCACGCUGUUGUUUGGGAAUGUUGAUUUUCUCAUUAAUUCUUUCCAUUCCCGCGGUAUUCUGUAUGGGAACAGUAGUCUGGAUAUAGGGAUUCCGGGAUUAAAGGCCACUCGGUGUUUCACGGCGGAUAAAUACAAGGAUUCUCCCGCGCAUCUCAUUUACUACAUCGUCAUCAACGUUGUAGGGGCCAUGGUUACUCUGCUAAUUUCUGUGCUUUAUUUUCAAGUCAUUCGAAAGAUCAGAAAACAGUUUCAAGAAAACGAGAGGACGCUUCAUCCCAGCGUUCCAAAACUGCAACACAGCGGAAGUAAUUGGGAGGAAAAAAUAAACCGGAAGUUGGUCAAAACGACGGUGACGUUGUUGGCGGUAACCGUUGUAUUCGUGCUGACUAGUAUUCCCCUCAUACUCUGUUAGCCCUGGUUGAUUACUCGGUGGGGAGUUUCUUCUGUCGUUUGAGCUUCGCUGAAGGAGUAGCUUACAAUACGGCGAUGUAUUUCUUUUUGCUGAACAGCGUUUUGAACAGCGUAAUUUACGGGUUCACGGACAAAAGGUUCAAGAGGAGAUUUUUGUUGUUGUUCAAGAGACAACAGUUCAAUGUGAACAACCAGGAAACAACAGAUGGGACGUCCUCAAACAACGUAAUAUAGAAUAUGUAAAUUCUGGUCUAAUAUCUGGUGCCACUACUUUGUAAAUGAGAACUGGUUAAAAGGGAGGACCAAACCCAUUCAAAAGCGAUCAUUCUUCUUUGUGUGCGUGAGAUACAAGCAUGCAAUAAAUAAAAUUUCAGUACGAUGAUAAAAAUUAAGCCUUAUCAUUGCUCCAAUACUUGUAAGCCUGAAAACUAUCGAAAAUAAAAACUCAAAAGCUUU
rnacentral:misc_RNA from 1 species